GAUGAACGCUGGCGGCGUGCCUAAUACAUGCAAGUCGAGCGAACGGACGGGAAGCUUGCUUCUCUGAUGUUAGCGGCGGACGGGUGAGUAACACGUGGAUAACCUACCUAUAAGACUGGGAUAACUUCGGGAAACCGGAGCUAAUACCGGAUAAUAUUUUGAACCGCAUGGUUCAAAAGUGAAAGACGGUCUUGCUGUCACUUAUAGAUGGAUCCGCGCUGCAUUAGCUAGUUGGUAAGGUAACGGCCUACCAAGGCAACGAUGCAUAGCCGACCUGAGAGGGUGAUCGGCCACACUGGAACUGAGACACGGUCCAGACUCCUACGGGAGGCAGCAGUAGGGAAUCUUCCGCAAUGGGCGAAAGCCUGACGGAGCAACGCCGCGUGAGUGAUGAAGGUCUUCGGAUCGUAAAACUCUGUUAUUAGGGAAGAACAUAUGUGUAAGUAACUGUGCACAUCUUGACGGUACCUAAUCAGAAAGCCACGGCUAACUACGUG
rnacentral:rRNA from 1 species